ACAUUGGUGAUUUAAUGGUAGAAUUCUCGCCUUCCACGUGGGAGAUCUGGGUUCAAUUCCCAGCCAACGUA
rnacentral:tRNA from 1 species